GUGGGGAAUAUUGGACAAUGGGCGCAAGCCUGAUCCAGCCAUGCCGCGUGUGUGAAGAAGGCCUUUUGGUUGUAAAGCACUUUAAGCGAGGAGGAGGCUACUUGGAUUAAUACUCUAGGAUAGUGGACGUUACUCGCAGAAUAAGCACCGGCUAACUCUGUGCCAGCAGCCGCGGUAAUACAGAGGGUGCGAGCGUUAAUCGGAUUUACUGGGCGUAAAGCGUGCGUAGGCGGCUUUUUAAGUUGGAUGUGAAAUCCCUGAGCUUAACUUAGGAAUUGCAUUCGAUACUGGGAAGCUAGAGUAUGGGAGAGGAUGGUAGAAUUCCAGGUGUAGCGGUGAAAUGCGUAGAGAUCUGGAGGAAUACCGAUGGCGAAGGCAGCCAUCUGGCCUAAUACUGACGCUGAGGUACGAAAGCAUGGGGAGCAAACAGGAUUAGAAACCCCUGUAGUCC
rnacentral:rRNA from 1 species